rnacentral:rRNA from 1 species
GACGAACGCUGGCGGCGUGCCUAAUACAUGCAAGUUGAGCGCUGAAGGUUGGUACUUGUACCGACUGGAUGAGCGGCGAACGGGUGAGUAACGCGUGGGGAAUCUGCCUUUGAGCGGGGGACAACAUUUGGAAACGAAUGCUAAUACCGCAUAAAAACUUUAAACACAAGUUUUAAGUUUGAAAGAUGCAAUUGCAUCACUCAAAGAUGAUCCCGCGUUGUAUUAGCUAGUUGGUGAGGUAAAGGCUCACCAAGGCGAUGAUACAUAGCCGACCUGAGAGGGUGAUCGGCCACAUUGGGACUGAGACACGGCCCAAACUCCUACGGGAGGCAGCAGUAGGGAAUCUUCGGCAAUGGACGAAAGUCUGACCGAGCAACGCCGCGUGAGUGAAGAAGGUUUUCGGAUCGUAAAACUCGGUUGGUAGAGAAGAACGUUGGUGAGAGUGGAAAGCUCAUCAAGUGACGGUAACUACCCAGAAAGGGACGGCUAACUACGUG